rnacentral:rRNA from 1 species
AUGAACGCUAGCGACAGGCCUAACACAUGCAAGUCGAGGGGCAGCACAAGGAGCAAUCUGAGGUGGCGACCGGCGCACGGGUGAGUAACACGUAUGCAACCUGCCUGUAAGCGGGGAAUAACCCGUUGAAAGACGGACUAAUACCGCAUAAUACUAAAUUACUGCAUGGUAAUUUAUUUAAACAUUUAUGGCUUACAGAUGGGCAUGCGCAUGAUUAGCUAGUUGGAGGGUAACGGCUCCCCAAGGCAACGAUCAUUAGGGGUUCUGAGAGGAAGGUCCCCCACACUGGUACUGAGACACGGACCAGACUCCUACGGGAGGCAGCAGUGAGGAAUAUUGGUCAAUGGACGAGAGUCUGAACCAGCCAAGUCGCGUGCAGGAAGAAUGUCCUAUUGGAUUGUAAACUGCUCUUGCAGGGGAAUAAAGUGCAUCACGUGUGAUGUUUUGUAUGUACUCUGCGAAUAAGGAUCGGCUAACUCCGUGCCAGCCGCAGC